rnacentral:rRNA from 1 species
AAUCGUAGAAAGGGAAUGGAUACUGCAAUUCUGGAAGUAUCUAGGGGUUAGUGGAAUUUCCGGUGGAGCGGUGAAAUGCGUUGAUAUCGGAAGGAACGCCGAAAGCGAAAGCAGCUAACUAUAGAAUACUUGACGAUGAGGGACGACAGUUUGGGGAGCAAACAGGAUUAGAUACCCUGGUAGUCCAAACCGUAAAUUAUGCUUGCUAGAUGUUUUUAUCAAUUUAUUGGUAGGAGUGUCGUAAUCUAACGAGUUAAGCAAGCCGCCUGGGUAGUAUAUUCGCAAGAAUGAAACUCAAAGGGAUAGGCGGGGGAACACACAAGCAGUGGAUUAUCUAGAUUAAUUGGAUACUAAGCCAAGAAUCUUACCUAGGAUUGACAUGUAUUGUGUCUGCGGUGAAAGUCGCAUAUCCGUAGCAAUACGGAGCUUUACACAGGUGGUGCAUGGUCGUCGUCAGCUCGUGCCGCAAGGUGUCUAGUUAAGUCUGGAAACGAGCGCAACCCUCAUGCUUAGUUAGUAUGUCUAAGCAGACUGCUCGGGUAACCGAGAGGAAGGAGAGGAUGACGUCAGAUCCUCAUGCCUCUUACACCUAGGGCCUCAUAGAUAAUACAAUGGGUAGGUACAGCGAGAAGCAAGACCGCGAGGUGGAGCAAAUCUUUAAAACUACCCCUAGUUCGGAUUGUAGUCUGGAACUCGACUACAUGAAGUUGGAAUUGCUAGUAAUGGCAGAUCAGCCAUGCUGCCGUGAAUAUGUCCCUGUUCCUUGCACUCACCGCCCGUCAAACCAUGGGAGCUGAGGUUCUUUGAAGACUCAUUAUAUGGGUUAAGGAGGAAAUCAGUGACUGGGGUUAAGUCGUAACAAGGCAUCCCUACCGGAAGGUGGGGAUA